rnacentral:rRNA from 1 species
AAAUUGAAGAGUUUGAUCAUGGCUCAGAUUGAACGCUGGCGGCAGGCCUAACACAUGCAAGUCGAACGGUAACAGAAAGAAGCUUGCUUCUUUGCUGACGAGUGGCGGACGGGUGAGUAAUGUCUGGGAAACUGCCUGAUGGAGGGGGAUAACUACUGGAAACGGUAGCUAAUACCGC